rnacentral:rRNA from 1 species
UACGAAGGGGGCUAGCGUUGUUCGGAAUUACUGGGCGUAAAGGGCGCGUAGGCGGCGUGUCAAGUCAGGCGUGAAAGCCCCGGGCUCAACCUGGGAACCGCGCUUGAGACUGGCAUGCUCGAGUUCGGGAGAGGAAGGCGGAAUUCUCGGUGUAGAGGUGAAAUUCGUAGAUAUCGAGAGGAACACCGGUGGCGAAGGCGGCCUUCUGGACAGUGACGUG